AUUCUGCAUUCAACCUGUGCAAGACUGGUUAUCUUAGCAACUCAGCUGAGCACGAAGUAACGCAGGAAUACUGGUGACAGUUCAGGCUUAGACACCCAAGCAGAAGUCAUCUUUGCUGUGAACUACAUUUCCAAGUUACCUACAGGCUGUUUUGCACCUUAAAGCACUGAGCCAAGAACUGUCUAUUCAGCCUAAGAAUUCCUAUAAAGCUACAGAAGGUGAUCAACGCACAACUCCUGAAAAAUUUCUAUAAAUAACAUUUGAAAAACUUGUGUCUUCUGUACGUAACAGCAAAGAAAUAGUUUUCUUCCUGAGUCAGCUGUGCUAGCUACAAUGGUUUCAGAACAAAAAGAAAGCAUCACAUGGCAGAAUUAACAGACUUU